UAGGGAAUUNUUCGGCAAUGGACGAAAGUCNNGACCGAGCAACCGCCGCNUGAGUGAAGNAAGGUUUUCGGAUNGUAAAGCUCUGUUGUAAGAGAAGAACGGGUGUGAGAGUGGAAAGUUCACACUGUGACGGUAUCUUACCAGAAAGGGACGGCUAACUACGUGCCAGCAGCCGCGGUAAUACGUAGGUCCCGAGCGUUGUCCGGAUUUAUUGGGCGUAAAGCGAGCGCAGGCGGUUAGAUAAGUCUGAAGUUAAAGGCUGUGGCUUAACCAUAGUACGCUUUGGAAACUGUUUAACUUGAGUGCAGAAGGGGAGAGUGGAAUUCCAUGUGUAGUGGUGAAAUGCGUAGAUAUAUGGAGAAACACCGGUGGCGAAAGCGGCUCUCUGGUCUGUAACUGACGCUGAGGCUCGAAAGCGUGGGGAGCGAACAGGAUUAGAUACCCUGGUAGUCCACGCCGUAAACGAUGAGUGCUAGGUGUUAGGCCCUUUCCGGGGCUUAGUGCCGCAGCUAACGCAUUAAGCACUCCGCCUGGGGAGUACGACCGCAAGGUUG
rnacentral:rRNA from 1 species